GUGUUUNCCGCCCCCNGCCCCUUUUGGAGGNNGCACAGUGGGGAUAUUUGCACAAUGGGGGAAACCCUGACCCGCGACCCCGCGUGGGUGAAGAAAUCCNNUUGGAUGUUAAACCUUUUUUUUCNCGGAGAGAUAANGACGGUACCAUGGGGGGAAGCCCCGGCAAAUUUCGGCCCCCCAGCCGCGGUAAUUCGUAGGGGGCAAGCUUUUUCCGGAAUUUCUGGGGGUAAAGGGCGCUCAGGGUGAUUUUUAAGUCGGUAGUAAAAAGCCGAGGCUCAACUUGGGUUUACCUUUCGAAACUGUAAUUCUAGAGUCUGGGAGAGGGAAGUGGAAUUCCCGGUGUAGCGGUGAAAUGCGUAGAUAUCGGGAGGAACCCCAGUGGCGAAGGCGUCUUCCUGGCACUAUACUGACGCUCAUGUGCGAAAGCUAGGGUAGCCAAACCGGGAUUAGAUACCCCGGUAGUCCUCCCCGUAAACGAUGGAUACUAGGUGUGGGUGUCGUCAGGCCUUCCGUGCCGCCGCUAACGCCUUAAGUUUCCCGCCUGGAUUNGAC
rnacentral:rRNA from 1 species